rnacentral:tRNA from 1 species
GGAGCAGUGGCCGAGAGGUCUAAGGCAACCGACUUGAAAUCGGUCGAACUGGAAACAGUUCCGUGGGUUCGAAUCCCACUUGCUCCGCCA